UCCUGGUAAACAACAGACCGACACUCGUUGUUACACGUCGUUUAACGGUCAAUUAUCCCCGUGGAUAUAAUGCAUUUUUUUCGCGGAGGGAGAUAAUAAUAAUAAUUAAAAGGGGAGAAAGUAGUAAUAGUAGGGAAAGUGAGAGAGAAGGAAAAGGGGAGAGAGAGAGAGAGAGAGGCGCAAAAGAAGGUAGAGAGAAUCGAAGGUGUCGAGUGGCCGAAGAAGCGAGACGAGGCCACCACGCUCGGUAGACGUCCCCAGUGCGCAAGGGCGUUGGCGCUGACGACCAACGGUACUGGAAGUGUCGAGGGUGUGGGAUCGUGGGGAAGCUUUGGAGCUUCAUGGCGGGAUCGAGAAAGUGGGGAUGGUUUGAGGAGAGCGUGGGGUGGGAAGAAGCAGAGACGAACCGUGCUCUCCCAGUCGUUCAGUCCGCGCCCCGACACGCAAUCACGCGCCACACUUCUCGUCGUCGUCGUCGUCGUCGUCGCCGCCGCCGCCGUCUUCGUCUUCGUCGUUCGCAAUUCCAAUUCUUUCCGCUCCCCUUUCCUCCAUUCUUCCAUUCUCGCUCGCGUCUCCCUUCGAAGUGGCCGCCACGCGCGUCUUCUAACUCCGGAAAUUUCCCCGUUGUCGAUACCUCUUUUUUUUCUUCUUCUAUUUCUUCUUCUUCUUCUUCUUCUUUCUUCCUCUCCUCCUUCCCCCCCUCUCAACGUGACGCGACUACACGCGGUCCUCCUUGGUACUAACAAAGCAAAGUCAACUCGAAGACAGACUAACCAUCCACGUGACCAUGCACGCGUUAUGUCAACUUUGAGGAUCACGCCGCAUCGCCUGAAAUCGUAGAAAAAAAAAAGAUAAAGGAUCGGGGAAUAAUAAGUUGCGUGACGUGGUGGACCUGGUCAAAAUUAACGCAUGCACGUUUAACUCGUUAACGCAUCGUGGACACCUGAUCGGAGAAAUUAAUAUCCAAAGGGUUAAUUUAAUAAACGAUCCAUCCUUGAAGAGAGGGAACAACGUGGUUGUACGCGAGAAAGGGUAGCGGCGCCGCCUGGGGUCGUGGUAGCCGUGGCCGCGGCAGAGGCCGCGGGGGCGGCGCGAGCCUUCUCGGUUCAGGCGUCGCCCCCGCGAAUUACAAUUCAGGACUGCAGGGCGUAGCGCCUGAGCUGCGAGAGG